GACCAAGAAGUCUAACAUGUGUGCGAGUCAUUGGGUAUAUUGUUGAAACCUAAGGGCGCAAUUAAAAUAACUAUUUUAUGGGAUUACAAGUGAAUUAAAUUUCAUUUCUUCAUCCCGGGGCGUUCUAUACGAACAUGGUUCAAGCAAUUGAAUCCUCUGUUCAAGAGCGUACCUUGAGCAUACAUGCUGUGACCCGAAAGAUGGUGAACUAUACCUGAUCAGAUCGAAGCCAGGAGAAAUUCUGGUGGAGGAUCGAAACAGUUCUGACGUGCAAAUCGAUUGUCAGAAUUGGGUAUAGGGGCGAAAGACCAAUCGAACCAUCUAGUAGCUGGUUCCCUCCGAAGUUUCCCUCAGGAUAGCUGGCGCAAAGAAUUAUAUUGUAUAUAAUCUUAUCUGGUAAAGCGAAUGAUUAGAGGCCUUGGGGCCGAAACGACCUCAACCUAUUCUCAAACUUUAAAUGGGUAAGAACCUCAUCUUUCUUGAUCUGAAGAUAUUGGGGUUUAGAUAUAUUGUGCCCAGUGGGCCACUUUUGGUAAGCAGAACUGGCGCUGUGGGAUGAACCAAACAUGAUGUUACGGCGCCUAAAUUAAUGACUCAUAUUGAUACCAUGAAAGGCGUUGGUUGCUUAAAACAGCAGGACGGUGGACAUGGAAGUCGUAAUCCGCUAAGGAGUGUGUAACAACUCACCUGCCGAAGCAACUAGCCCUUAAAAUGGAUGGCGCUCAAGUCAUAUGCCUAUACAUCAUCGCUAGAAUAGAAAUUGUUGGCCGUUCCGGUCAUCAAUGUGAAAUUCUAGUGAGUAGGAGGGUACAAUGGUGUGCGCAGAAGUGUUUGGCGUGAGCCUGCAUGAAGCCGCCAUUGGCACAGAUCUUGGUGGUAGUAGCAAAUAAUCGAAUGAGAUCUUGGAGGACUGAAGUGGAGAAGGGUUUCGUGUGAACAGUGGUUGAUCACGAGUUAGUCGGUCCUAAGCUUUAUGCGAAAGCUGUUUAAUUUAUGUUACACACAAUUUGUUUUGUUGUACAUAAUUCAAUAAAAGCGAAAGGGAAUACGGUUCCAAUUCCGUAACCUGUUGAGUAUACGUUUGUUUAUUAAAAAUGGGUCUUAUUACACUCAUCCUGGCAACAGGAACGACCAUAGAGAAGCCUUCGAGAGAUACUGGAAGAGUUUUCUUUUCUGCUAAACAAGCGUACCACCAUGGAAGUCUUUUAUAGAGAGAUAUGGUGGAUGGCUUGGAAGAGCAUGACAUUUACUGUUGUGUCAGUAUUUUCUCCUUGGACCUUGAAAAUCUAUGGUGGGGCCACGCAAACUUCUCAACAGACCGUACCGAUAUCCGCAG
rnacentral:rRNA from 1 species